rnacentral:rRNA from 1 species
GACGAACGCUGGCGGCGUGCUUAACACAUGCAAGUCGAGCGGUAAGGGCCCUUUCGGGGGUACGACGAGCGGCGAACGGGUGAGUAACACGUGGGUGACCUGCCCUCAGCUCUGGGAUAAGCCUCGGGAAACUGGGUCUAAUACCGGAUAUGACUCCAUGACGCAUGUUGUGGGGUGGAAAGCCUUGUGCGGCUGAGGAUGGGCCCGCGGCCUAUCAGCUUGUUGGUGGGGUGAUGGCCUACCAAGGCGACGACGGGUAGCCGGCCUGAGAGGGCGACCGGCCACACUGGGACUGAGACACAGCCCAGACUCCUACGGGAGGCAGCAGUGGGGAAUCUUGCGC